rnacentral:rRNA from 1 species
CAGUAGCCGCGGUAAUACGUAGGGUGCAAGCGUUAAUCGGAAUUACUGGGCGUAAAGCGUGCGCAGGCGGUUUGUUAAGACAGAUGUGAAAUCCCCGGGCUCAACCUGGGAACUGCAUUUGUGACUGGCAGGCUAGAGUAUGGCAGAGGGGGGUGGAAUUCCGCGUGUAGCAGUGAAAUGCGUAGAUAUGCGGAGGAACACCGAUGGCGAAGGCAGCCCCCUGGGCCAAUACUGACGCUCAUGCACGAAAGCGUGGGGAGCAAACAGGAUUAGAUACCACUGUAGUCCCUGUCUCUUAUAC